rnacentral:rRNA from 1 species
AUGAAAGAUAUUAUUGCUCUGUACCAUCCCAUGGCUCUAAGGCUAUUCCUGAUGCGAACACACUACAUGUCCGAUGUCAAACACUACUCUGAAGAAGCUAUGUCCUUGUACCGUGAUGACAAGUUGGAUGUCCCAGCACUAGCAGGUGGUUGGAAGGUGGAUGACGACAACCAUGAGAGUUACCUUCACAUUUCGAACGAUCUUCCUACAGUAGUAUUGCACAAGGAGGCGAUGAGCAGCUCUUCCACUGCUGGCAUCCACCUUGCCCUCUGGUGGUGGCAGCAACAUAGUGAGGCCCCCUCGCAUCCCCACCCACCCGUGCCCCUUCCCCUCGCAUCUCUUCCUCCCGAGCCCCGACCCCAGGCUAGGGUUCCAUACGCCGCCGCCGGUGUCUCACCCCCUCACCACACACGCAUCUCUCCUUUCCAUCCCCACCUGAGGUCCUCAAUCGCCAUCUCGAGGUCCGAGAAGAGAGGGCCGCCGCACCGUCUUCCUCCUCCACCGACCUCCGAGGCGCCCUACUCGUGGGACGACGCCGCCGCCGCCUUGUGGAACCCCAGGGCAGGGCAGGGCGUGGUCGAGUUGCGGGCAGGGAAGAGCGGCGCCGACGCCGUGCGUAGCCAGUUCGUGCGAGGACAAGGACUGCCGCCGCCCGGGCCGCGGUGA